rnacentral:snRNA from 1 species
UGAAAUCUUAAAACAAAUCAGGGCCUUCGAUAAGACCCAUGGGCUUGAAUUUUUGGAUGCUCCUACUUGGUAGGAGCA